CCAGCAGCCGCGGUAAUUCCAGCUCCAGAAGCGUAUACUAACGUUGUUGCAGUUAAAAAGCUCGUAGUUGAAUUUUAUGAUUUGAGGAUAUAGAAACGAAAUUGUUUUUAUGUUGUUCAAAGAAUUUCUAAGACUUUUAAAUAAUAAAAGUUUUUCUUUCACUGUAAAAAAAUUAGAGUGUUUCAAGCAAAAUGUAGAUUUGGAAUAUAAUAGUAUGGAAUGAUAAGAUAGGACUCUUUUACUAUUUUGUUGGUUUGUAUAAGAGAGUAAUGAUUAAUAGGGACAAUUGGGGGUAUUCGUAUUCAGAUGUCAGAGGUGAAAUUCUUGGAUUUUCGGAAGACGAACAACUGCGAAGGCAUUUAC
rnacentral:rRNA from 1 species